rnacentral:hammerhead_ribozyme from 1 species
AUUCAGCUGACGAGUCUCAAAUAGGAUGAAACGCGCAUUCUGGAU